AUUGAACGCUGGCGGCAGGCCUAACACAUGCAAGUCGAGCGGCAGCACAAGGGAGUUUACUCCUGAGGUGGCGAGCGGCGGACGGGUGAGUAAUGCCUAGGGAUCUGCCCAGUCGAGGGGGAUAACAGUUGGAAACGACUGCUAAUACCGCAUACGCCCUACGGGGGAAAGAGGGGGACCUUCGGGCCUCUCGCGAUUGGAUGAACCUGGGUGGGAUUAGCUAGUUGGUGAGGUAAUGGCUCACCAAGGCGACGAUCCCUAGCUGUUGUGAGAGGAUGAUCAGCCACACUGGGACUGAGACACGGCCCAGACUCGUACGGGAGGCAGCAGUGGGGAAUAUUGCACAAUGGGGGAAACCCGGAUGCAGCCAUGCCGCGUGUGUGAAGAAGGCCUUCGGGUUGUAAAGCACUUUCAGUAGGGAGGAAAGGGUGAGUCUUAAUACGGCUCAUCUGUGACGUUACCUACAGAAGAAGGACCGGCUAACUCCGUGCCAGCAGCCGCCGUAA
rnacentral:rRNA from 1 species